rnacentral:rRNA from 1 species
UCGGACCGUGUAUAAGUUUCCUGGAACGGAGCGUCAUAGAGGGUGAGAAUCCCGUCUUUGACACGGACUGCCGAUGCUUUGUGAUGCGCUCUCGAAGAGUCGAGUUGUUUGGGAAUGCAGCUCAAAAUGGGUGGUGAAUUCCAUCUAAAGCUAAAUAUUGGCGAGAGACCGAUAGCGAACAAGUACCGUGAGGGAAAGAUGAAAAGCACUUUGGAAAGAGAGUUAAACAGUACGUGAAAUUGUUGAAAGGGAAACGAUUGAAGUCAGUCGCGUCCGCCGGGACUCAGCCUUGCAUUCUUGCUCGGUGUACUUUCCGGUGGACGGGCCAGCAUCAAUUUUGAUCGUCGGAAAAGGAUCGGGGAAAUGUGGCACCUUUCGGGGUGUGUUAUAGUCUCCGGUCGCAUACGACGGUUGGGAUUGAGGAACUCAGCAUGCCUUUACGGUCGGGGUUCGCCCACGUUCAUGCUUAGGAUGCUGGCGUAAUGGCUUUAAACGACCCGUCUUGAAACACGGACCAAGGAGUCUAACAUGCCCGCGAGUGUUCGGGUGGAAAACCCGUGCGCGUAAUGAAAGUGAAAGUUGGGACCUCUGUCGCGGAGGGCACCGACGCCCGGACCAGAACUUCUGUGACGGAUNUGCGGUAGAGCGUGUAUGUUGGGACC